rnacentral:rRNA from 1 species
AUUGAACGCUGGCGGCAUGCCUUACACAUGCAAGUCGAACGGUAACAGGCCGCAAGGUGCUGACGAGUGGCGAACGGGUGAGUAAUGCAUCGGAACGUGCCCAGUCGUGGGGGAUAACUGCUCGAAAGAGCAGCUAAUACCGCAUACGACCUGAGGGUGAAAGCGGGGGACCGUAAGGCCUCGCGCGAUUGGAGCGGCCGAUGUCAGAUUAGCUAGUUGGUGGGGUAAAGGCCUACCAAGGCAACGAUCUGUAGUUGGUCUGAGAGGACGACCAGCCACACUGGGACUGAGACACGGCCCAGACUCCUACGGGAGGCAGCAGUGGGGAAUUUUGGACAAUGGGCGCAAGCCUGAUCCAGCAAUGCCGCGUGCAGGAAGAAGGCCUUCGGGUUGUAAACUGCUUUUGUCAGGGAAGAAAUCUUCUGGGCUAAUACCCCGGGAGGAUGACGGUACCUGAAGGAUAAGCACCGGCUAACUACGUGCCAGCCGCCGCGGUAAUAC